rnacentral:lncRNA from 1 species
UGCAUCUGUCCAAACUCUCCUACACUGUGCUUGACUCUGAGAACCAUAGACCAUUUUAAAUGAUCUCAAUGUCAAACCAUUCAACAAAACUCCCAGUCAGCUCUUUCAUCAUUUCCAUUGUGCAAAAUGGAAUCCAUGCUGAAACUCACUCCUCUUCAGCACCUUUUGCUCCAGAAAAGCCCCCCCCUUCUCUGGGAGGGUAGACAUUUGGACCUACCUUCUUCUUUUCUCCUUAUCCCUCCCUCCCCAACUUUUCAGCUUUUUUGUGUGCUUUUUCCUAUUAGACAAUUAUUUCCUUGAGCACAUAGACUGCCUUAUGAACCUUUGUAUCUUUCUUUGUAUCCUCAACACUUAGCAAGAUGCCUAGGCUUAGUAAAUGCUUAUUGAUUUUCUGAUUCUGAUUCCACCUUAAAUUUGCAUGGCACUGAUAAAUGUAGCUAAAACUUUUUGUUUUCCUCUGCCUUAAGAAUUUGAUAGGAGCCUUGCAUGAAUCCACCUCUGAGAUCCACUGGUUGUCUAAUAAGAGAGUUCUGAUAACUUCCAGAUCUUGCCAUGAUUUUUUUGGUCCCAUUUUAUUUCUCCUGCUCAAAAGCCAGAAAUCUCCAUGCAAUUGUAUCUUUUUCUUCUUUCUCCCCCUCCUUCUCUCUAUUCCUUCCUCUCUCCCUCCAUUCUUGCUUCCUUCCUUCCUCCCUAGGUGAAAAUAACCAAUGAUCUGGUGGGUAGAAUUGUGAAGUGAUUCAACCCUUUCGGAGACCAAUUUGAAACUGUGCCCAAAGGCUUAUAAAAUGUGCCUUUGAAAAACUUUGGAUACACCAGUGCUGCUUCUCCCCCAAAAUGAUAAAACUUGAAUAAAGUUAUAUAUGAACAAAAUAUUCCUAUCAGCUCUUUUUGUGGUGGCAAAGAAAAUGUAAAAUGAGUACAUGCCUAACAAUUGGGAAAUAGCUGAAUAAAUUAUGAUAUAUUAAAGUAAUGUGAGGGAUGAAGAAGUCCCUUAGCCAAAAUGACUACUCAGAGAUCAGUCAGUAGAAAGCAGAAAAGUUAUUGAUUAAUAAGUUCUCAUGAGAAUGAGCAAUUCCACUGCGAGGAGGGAAAGAGAAAGCUCCCAGUAGAAGGGCUAAAGAAUUAGGAAAGAUAUAUGGAUUUUAUAGAUUUGGUUACAAAGGAAUACAUCAUAGGUUGGGGAGCAUUGAGAAAUAGGUGCCUUCUCCCCUAAUUGAAUGUGAACCAUUGGUGCCAAAGGCAGAUGAGAACAGAAUGCUUUGUUUCCCUGAUUCUGAGAGGAAUCAUCAGUCAGGCCUUCAAACUUCAGAUUACUGAGCUGAUGGCUUUGAAUAAUCUAAAUAUUG